rnacentral:rRNA from 1 species
GACGAACGCUGGCGGUGUGCUUAACACAUGCAAGUCGAACGGUAAGGCCCUUUCGGGGGUACACGAGUGGCGAACGGGUGAGUAACACGUGAGUAACCUGCCCUCAUCUCUGGGAUAACAGUCGGAAACGGUUGCUAAUACUGGAUAUGAGCUUGCAAGGCAUCUUGUGGGUUGGAAAGAUUUUUUUGGUUGGGGAUGGACUCGCGGCCUAUCAGCUUGUUGGUGAGGUAGUGGCUCACCAAGGCUUCGACGGGUAGCCGGCCUGAGAGGGCGACCGGCCACAUUGGGACUGAGAUACGGCCAAAACUCCUACGGGAGGCAGCAGUGGGGAAUAUUGCACAAUGGACGGAAGUCUGAUGCAGCAACGCCGCGUGCGGGAUGACGGCCUUCGGGUUGUAAACCGCUUUCAAUUGUGACGAAGCUUUUUGUGACGGUAGCAGUAGAAGAAGCACCGGCUAACUACGUG